rnacentral:rRNA from 1 species
GACGAACGCUGGCGGCGUGCCUAACACAUGCAAGUCGAGGGGCAUCACGGAGUAGCAAUACUUUGGUGGCGACCGGCGCACGGGUGAGUAACGCGUAUGCAAUCUACCUACAACAGGGGGAUAACCCGGAGAAAUCCGGACUAAUACCGCAUAACACAGGGGUCCCGCAUGGGAAUAUUUGUUAAAGAUUUAUCGUUUGUAGAUGAGCAUGCGUUCCAUUAGGUAGUUGGUGAGGUAACGGCCCACCAAGCCUGCGAUGGAUAGGGGAACUGAGAGGUGUGUCCCCCACACUGGAACUGAGACACGGACCAGACUACUACGGGAGGCAGCAGUGAGGAAUAUUGGUCAAUGGGCGAGAGCCUGAACCAGCCAAAUCGCGUGAAGGAAGACUGCCUUAUGGGUUGUAAACUUCUUUUGUACAGGAAUAAAAAGAGGGACGUGUCCUUCAUUGCAUGUACUGUACGAAUAAGCAUCGGCUAACUCCGUGCCAGCAGCCGCAGUAA